GAUGAACGCUGGCGGCGUGCCUAAUACAUGCAAGUCGAGCGAACGGACGAGAAGCUUGCUUCUCUGAUGUUAGCGGCGGACGGGUGAGUAACACGUGGAUAACCUACCUAUAAGACUGGGAUAACUUCGGGAAACCGGAGCUAAUACCGGAUAAUAUUUUGAACCGCAUGGUUCAAAAGUGAAAGACGGUCUUGCUGUCACUUAUAGAUGGAUCUGCGCUGCAUUAGCUAGUUGGUAAGGUAACGGCUUACCAGGGCAACGAUGCAUAGCCGACCUGAGAGGGUGAUCGGCCACACUGGAACUGAGACACGGUCCAGACUCCUACGGGAGGCAGCAGUAGGGAAUCUUCCGCAAUGGGCGAAAGCCUGACGGAGCAACGCCGCGUGAGUGAUGAAGGUCUUCGGAUCGUAAAACUCUGUUAUUAGGGAAGAACAUAUGUGUAAGUAACUGUGCACAUCUUGACGGUACCUAAUCAGAAAGCCACGGCUAACUACGUG
rnacentral:rRNA from 1 species